rnacentral:rRNA from 1 species
UACGUAGGAGGCAAGCGUUGUCCGGAAUUAUUGGGCGUAAAGAGCUCGUAGGCGGUUCGUCGCGUCGAAUGUGAAAUCCCGGGGCUCAACUCCGGGUCUGCAUUCGAUACGGGCGGACUAGAGUUCGGUAGGGGAGACUGGAAUUCCUGGUGUAGCGGUGAAAUGCGCAGAUAUCAGGAGGAACACCGGUGGCGAAGGCGGGUCUCUGGGCCGAUACUGACGCUGAGGAGCGAAAGCGUGGGGGAGCGAACAGG